rnacentral:misc_RNA from 1 species
UUGCAGAAAUUGAAAUAAAGUGUUGGCAACGUUGUGGAUUUGCCUGCGCUGUUGUUGGGAAGUUUUCGAGCCAUUGCUGUUGUAAGAGCAAGUAUUUGGGAAAAUAUAUAGCAGGAAAAACUAAUAAGAGUUGUUGGUACGUGUCAACAAUAACAACAACAAACAUUGGAAAUUCUGCUAUCAAAAGUUUGUUUAGCCAAAUCAGCGGUGCAGACACGUCGCUCCCAAAUCAUCCCGUCACCUUAAACGUUGAGCUUGGUAUUGUUUUGCACAAUUUCUGCGUGCAUCAAUUUUAAUUGAAUUGAAUUGUACCUGAAUGCAUGUACAUAUAACCAUAUACUAUUCUUAUACAUAACUCUUAACGUCAGGCAGUGUGUAUGUGACUACAACAAACAAUAUCAACUUUAAACAAUUGAUUUAUCGUAAAAGAAAGAUAACGCACAACACACGUGUAGACACAAUAUUGAGGUGUACAAUCGACGACGUGUGGAAGGAAAACAAUUGUGUUUGUUAGUGUCAGGAUAUUUUCUAAUCACACUUUUGCUUGUAUCAACUGUUGGUUGGCUAUUAUUGUGGUUAAACGAAAGCAACAACAUGUCGAUUGCGCCAGUGAUAAUUGAGGCAACCGCCAAACAUACGUCAACCCUCAUCUUCAUGCACGGCUUAGGUGAUACUGGCCAUGGAUGGAGUUCAGCGUUGGCGACAAUACGUCCGCCCAGCAUGAAAGUAAUCUGUCCAACAGCACCCACAAUGCCGGUGUCACUGAAUGCCGGCUUUCGUAUGCCUUCUUGGUUUGAUUUACGUACGCUCGAUAUAUCGGGUCCCGAAGAUGAGGAGGGCAUCAAAAGUGCUGCUCAAAAUAUAAAAAGUAUGAUUGAUGACGAAGUCACCAAAGGUAUAGCAUCGAAUCGUAUUGUGCUGGGUGGUUUCUCACAGGGUGGUGCAUUAGCAUUGUAUACAGCGCUGACAUACAAUCAACCGCUGGCUGGUGUUGUGGCGCUAUCCUGUUGGUUGCCAUUGCACAAGCAAUUUCCAGGCAUAAAAACCAACUCCGACGAAAUACCAGUUUUUCAGGCACAUGGUGACUUCGAUCCUGUUGUACCAUACAAGUUUGGUCAAUUAAGCGCUAGUUUAUUAAAGACAUUUAUGAAGAAAGUUACAUUUAAGACAUACAAUGGGCUAUCACAUUCCUCAUCGGAUGACGAAAUGGAUGAUGUGCGGGAUGUACUGGCCUCUUGGGUAAAUUAAAUUGCAAAAUAAUUAAAAUACAAUACACUAGUAAACAAAAUGAACAUACAUAUAAUUAGUGUGCAUAGUUAAGCGCAGUGGUGACAGUAGAAAAAGUGAUACCUCAACGGUGGAUGUUAGCGGAAAUGCCACAGCUCAAUGCUGUCUAAUAUCAUAGUAGCAAA